rnacentral:rRNA from 1 species
CNUCCUGGGAUAACACUGACGUUCAUGCCCGAAAGCGUGGGUAGCAAACAGGAUUAGAUACCCUGGUAGUNCACGCCCUAAACGAUGUCGAUUAGCUGUUGGGCAGCAUGACUGCUUAGUAGCGAAGCUAACGCGUGAAAUCGACCGCCUGGGGAGUACGGUCGCAAGAUUAAAACUCAAAGGAAUUGACGGGGACCCGCACAAGCGGUGGAUGAUGUGGAUUAAUUCGAUGCAACGCGAAGAACCUUACCUGGUCUUGACAUGUACGGAAUCCUCCAGAGACGGAGGAGUGCCUUCGGGAGCCGUAACACAGGUGCUGCAUGGCUGUCGUCAGCUCGUGUCGUGAGAUGUUGGGUUAAGUCCCGCAACGAGCGCAACCCUUGUCAUUAGUUGCCAUCAUUAAGUUGGGCACUCUAAUGAGACUGCCGGUGACAAGCCGGAGGAAGGUGGGGAUGACGUCAAGUCCUCAUGGCCCUUAUGACCAGGGCUUCACACGUCAUACAAUGGUCGGUACAGAGGGUAGCCAAGCCGCGAGGCGGAGCCAAUCUCACAAAACUGAUCGUAGUCCGGAUUGCACUCUGCAACUCGAGUGCAUGAAGUCGGAAUCGCUAGUAAUCGCAGGUCAGCAUACUGCGGUGAAUACGUUCCCGGGUCUUGUACACACCGCCCGUCACACCAUGGGAGUGGGGGAUACCAGAAGUAGGUAGGGUAACCGCAAGGAGCCCGCUUACCNCGGUA